UAUAUAUCUGUGUGAAAUGUUUGUAACAAACGAUGGAAAUUGGACGAAAUUGAUUAACAUUAUUCAUGUUGUUGUUGCUCCUGGUGAAAAACAUUAUUUUUUAAUAUUUUAUUGUGCCAACACAUCAUCUAUCAUUUGGCAAGACACCACCAGAAUAUGACACAGGCAUAACGGGAAAGAAGAUUGAAAAAUAGUUAAAGCAGCUUUAGCAGCGAAAAAUCUUCAAUAUUUGAGAAAACUAGAAACGAUCAAAGUUGAGUGAUUUUUUUUCUUAUGGGAAAUCCCAUGCAUUGUCAAAACAGCCAAAUAUUUUUUACUUCAACCGUUUUUUUACACAAAUUUUUUUAGAAGCUGAUUCAUAUUUUGAAACUUUGAUGGUACUUUUAGCUUGCAUUUGAGAAUAUCUAUCCAUAUACAAAUUUUUAUUUUUCGUUGGUAUGCCCCUUUAAAACAAAAAAGCAGUUGUUAAAACACGCUUUAACAAAUGUAAUUUUGCUGCUAAUUUUCUUCUCUUUGUUUUAAUUAAUUUAAUCUUUUGUUUUCUUAUUGAAAGAGUCACAAGUCAAAAUAUUCAUUAAGUUAAUAAAAUAAUAUUAAUUUGAUUUAUUGCCUAUUGAUCAACUUAUAAAAGAAACCACAAAUAGUAACCAGCCAUCAUAACUAACCUCUAAUGCAAAAUGUUUUUCUUGUUUUAUCAAAACUUCCGCUUCUCCCAAUAUUUCCCUUAAUUAAUUGUUGUUGAAUUGCAGGAUGCGUGGUGUUAAGGUAUACAAUGAAUUUACCUGGUGUGUUUUAAACAAAUAUUUCAUAAAUAAUUAUAACAAUGUUACGCUGAGGAUAAAGAAGCCAUCAUCCUUCAUUCCGUUGCAUAUCAUAUUUUUUUAUUUAUCUUUUUUUAAACGAUGGCGAUGAUCAAACUAUUUAAAGAAUGAAGAGAAGGGAGUAAACGGCAAAACUACAGUCGUUAAAACAUGCUAAGGAUAAAAAGUCUGGAAAAGAAUAUCCGUUAAAAAUCAUGGUUGUUACACCAAAGUUGCAUCAGCCAUGCCCAACAAAAACAUGAGUGCAAAUAUCCCGCCUCUUAUUCAAUGAGUUUUCUUUUAUCAAUAGGGGCGUUAUAAUGACUGUCGUUUUACCGUUAUUUCCUUUCUUUUGCGGUGUUGUAUAUUAUUGACCUUCGCUACCUCCACCAAAGAAACAAAUUAGGUCUUUUAUUAAAUAUUAAUAACAUUUACCUUUUGUAAUGUAUGUUGUAUUUCCCGAGCUUUUAGAUUUGUUUAAAUAAACUUCAAUAAAUGUUGGCAAUGUCAA